AGAAGCAUGUGAGGACUGUGAGACCUCUUAUCCCACUGGUUGUCAGGAUUGAUAGGCGGAUCUGGCUGGCUAGGCCAGUGUCCCCUUCCUCCCUCUCCACUCUCCGUACAUUCCUCCCAAAGCUGCAUGCUCAGUUGAAAAGGAAGGAAGACCUUCCUUGACAGAAGAGGAUUGCUCUUGGUCAAGGGUGUAUGAGUAACCCUGUGCCCCUGCCAGGCCCUAAAAUACCAAGAAAACAAGCUGACAAUCAAAAAGUCCUCAGUGAAAACAUGGCUACUAGUUACGACGCUGU
rnacentral:snRNA from 1 species